CCUACGGGGGACAGCAGUGGGGAAUAUUGCACAAUGGCGGAAACCCUGAUGCAGCAACGCCGCGUGAGUGAAGAAGUAUUUCGGUAUGUAAAGCUCUAUCAGCAGGGAAGAAGAUGACGGUACCUGAAUAAGAAGCCCCGGCUAACUACGUGCCAGCAGCCGUGGUAACAUGUCGGGGGCAAGCGUUAUCCGGAUUUACUGGGGGUAAAGGGAGCGCAGACGGCAGUGCAAGUCUGGAGUGAAAGCCUGGGGCCCAACCCCGGAACUGCCCUGGAAACUGUGCGGCUAGAGUACUGGAGGGGCAGGCGGAAAUCCUAGUGUAGCGGUGAAAUGCGUAGAUAUUAGGAGGAACACCAGAGGCGAAGGCGGCCUGCUGGACAGUAACUGACGUUGAGGCUCGAAAGCGUGGGGAGCAAACAGGAUUAGAUACCCGGGUAGUG
rnacentral:rRNA from 1 species